CAGUAGCCGCGGUAAUACAGAGGGUGCAAGCGUUAAUCGGAAUUACUGGGCGUAAAGCGCGCGUAGGUGGUUUGUUAAGUUGGAUGUGAAAUCCCCGGGCUCAACCUAGGAAUUGCAUUCGAUACUGGGAAGCUAGAGUAUGGGAGAGGAUGGUAGAAUUCCAGGUGUAGCGGUGAAAUGCGUAGAGAUCUGGAGGAAUACCGAUGGCGAAGGCAGCCAUCUGGCCUAAUACUGACGCUGAGGUACGAAAGCAUGGGGAGCAAACAGGAUUAGAUACCCGAGUAGUCCCUGUCUCUUAUAC
rnacentral:rRNA from 1 species